GAUCGUGAGCAUGGUUUGGAAGCAACUUAAUGACCAUGGCAAGAACUGGAGGCACGUGUACAAGGCCCGACACUGCUGGACUGCCUUAUCCAAACUGCUUCUCAGCGGGAAGCCCAGAGUGCCGUGAGAACACCUUUGCCGUUCAGACUCUGAAGGACUUUGGCAAAGAUCAGGGAUUCGACAUGCGAGAGAAUUCAAAGCAGCUGGUUGUUCUCCUCAAAGAUGAGGAGCAACUGAAGACUGAGCGGGUCGAGGCUCUCAAAACCAAAGAACGCAUGACUCAGGUGGCCACUGGUGUGGGCAGCAACCAGAUUACCUUCGGCCGUGGCUCGAGCCAGCCCAACCUUUCUACUAGCUACUCGGAGCAGGAGUAUGGCAAGGCUGGGGGCUCACCGGCCUUCUAGCAUGGCUAGGAACACUCCAUAGCUCAGCAUCAGCAAGACAUCCUCACAUGUGGAAAAGAGUCUCUGGAAUUUGAUUUGGUUGCAUGGCUGGGCCUGCACUGCACAGGACUGAUGUAUGUUCUGAUUGUAUGUGAUGGAUCACUUUGGAUCUUUGUCCUACAUUCAAAAGAGGUUUCGGGGAGAGGAAAUGGUGUUUGGGUCUUAUAGAAGCCGAUUUCUGAUCCCGUGGGACUCCUGGGCUCUGCCAGGAAGUGAUCCAAGGCACGAUGUUCAGCCUCUGUUCUUAGGGCUGAGCAACCACUGAGGACCCUGAACUUGAGAGAAAGGUGGCUCAGGUAGCCCUUGUAUGCAUAAGUUUUAUCUUCUGGCAGCAGAAACAAGUUUCCAAAUCAAUACCUUUGGAAUUAGUAUAUAAUGUCAGCAUAACAGAACUUUUGUUUUGUUUUGUUUUGUUUUCUGAGAGUGGGUUUCCCUAUGUAGUCAGGUUGGCUGCAAACUUGCUGUCUUCCUUCUGCAGCCUCCAGAGUGCUGGGUGACAAGUAUGUGUUAUGUGCAUGAGUUCUAUGACAGAACACUUUUCGUUCUUAAUAGUUUUGCUACUUGCCAGCACUUCCUGCUUUUGUAUAUUAGGUUUCAGUCAGAUUUUGGACCACUGUUA